UACGUAGGUGGCAAGCGUUAUCCGGAUUUAUUGGGCGUAAAGAGAACGCAGGCGGUCUUUUAAGUCUGAAGUGAAAGCCUUCGGCUUAACCGGAGUAGUGCAUUGGAAACUGGGAGACUUGAGUGCAGAAGAGGAGAGUGGAACUCCAUGUGUAGCGGUGAAAUGCGUAGAUAUAUGGAAGAACACCAGUGGCGAAAGCGGCUCUCUGGUCUGUAACUGACGCUGAGGUUCGAAAGCGUGGGUAGCAAACAGG
rnacentral:rRNA from 1 species